GAUGAAGAACGUAGCGAAACGCGAUAGUUAAUGUGAAUUGCAGAAUUCAGUGAAUCAUCGAAUCUUUGAACGCACAUUGCGCCCGCCAGUAUUCUGGCGGGCAUGCCUGUCUGAGCGUCAUUUCAACCCUCAUGCCCCUAGGGCGUGGUGUUGGGGAUCGGCCAAAGCCCGCGAGGGACGGCCGGCCCCUAAAUCUAGUGGCGGACCCGUCGUGGCCUCCUCUGCGAAGUAGUGAUAUUCCGCAUCGGAGAGCGACGAGCCCCUGCCGUUAAACCCCCAACUUUCCAAGGUUGACCUCAGAUCAGGUAGGAAUACCCGCUGAACUUAAGCAUAUCAAUAAGCGGAGGA
rnacentral:misc_RNA from 1 species